CUGGCCUGGCACAUUUUUUAAUCAGGUUGUUUGUGUUUUUACUGUGGAGUUUUAAGAGGGGUUUUUUUUUUUUUUUUUUUGUAUAUUUUGGAUAACAACUCUUUUUUUUUGCCAUUUCUUUCUUUUUAUUUACAGUUUGUGCUCAAUGCAAAUCAAUUCCAUAACAUAAGAAGUUACUAUGAAUCAAAGCAUAAAUAUACAAACACAAUAUACAAUCCAAAAUAGAUGUAUAGCAUUCUGGAAUAAAGCAAAAGAGUGUUCCUUCACAGACACAGUAGCUUCAGAUCUGUUCAAUCUGUUUGUUCUCAGGUAGUUUUCUAAUGAUGGAAAAAAAUGACUUUGGUCAUCAAACUACUGUGGCCACAUUAGAUUACCGGAACAUCUAAGCAUCAGUGUGUGACCAUGCGAACGAAAGACUUCGGGGAGUGUCUGUUUUUAAAAAGGUUUCUGUGUGUCGAGGCAGUUGUAAAAGAUUUACUGCAGAAUCAAGCCCACUUUUAGGCUUAGGACCAGGUUCUAACUAUCUAAAAAUAUUCACUGAUAACAAAAAGUGUUCCAAAUAUAGCUAUUCUGAUUCAUAGUUGUUUUUUAAGGAAAAAAAAAGUAUAUACAGAAAGACUAUAAAAGUUUUUGUGAAUUUAAUGCAAAUUAGCUUCCAGUCUUCACUUCCCAAAUACUUGAUUUACAGUUUUGACUCCUUUACAUUUUUGCCUUUUUAAUUUCAAGAUAUGCAGAAAUAAAAAGCAUUUUGAUGGCCGGGUGCAGGGGCUCAAGCCUGUAAUCCCAGCACUUUGGGAGGCCGAGGCAGGCGGAUCACCUGAGGUCAGGAGUUUGAAACCAGCCUGAGCAACAUGGUGAAACCCUAUCUCUAGUAAAAUUACAAAAAUUAGCUGGGCAUGGUGUCGGGUGUCUGUAAAAUCCCAGCUACUUGGGAGGCUGAGGCAGGAGAAUUGCUUGAGCCUGGGAGGCAGAGGGUAUACUGAGCUGAGAUUGCACCACUGCACUCCAGCCUGGGCGACAAAGUGAGACUCUGUCUAAAAAAUAAUAAUAAUAAUAAUAAUAAUAAUAAAAAGCAUUUUGAAAUUAGUCGUGGUCAAUGCAAUUCUACUCUUUGGAAUCCGUUUAACUAAAUGAAUGUAGUGCUCUUGUUGAACGGAAAUAGGUGAUAGGAAAUGCCUACCAUUUGACUCUAUAUGGAUAAUCAAGAGUUGCUGAGAAUGCUUGUAUCUGGGGGUAGAUUCUCAUUCAUCAUUGCCCUGGCACAUGUCAAUUACUACAUAAAAGGUCAAAUGCAAUGUCAAAUCCAAAGUCUCAAGAGGAAAGUGAGUUCAGUUCCCAAGAGAACAGUGAUAGCUCAACAAUGUAAAACUUCAUCUAGAAUACAUCGGCAUUAAAUUAGUGCUGUCGAAACAAUACGUUGAGGAAUUACAGUAACACCUGAAAGUUCCUUCUAAUGUACUUAUAAAUAGAAUCAUGGAAGCUUUUUAUAUUACCUGUUUUAUGGCAUUAUAGAAUUAAUGAACCAAAUGAAAACUGAAUCUCCAUUCCACCAUCACAUCCUUUAUUUCUAUUCUUAUUUUCUUUUUUUUUUAGAUUUAAUAAAUUUAUUUUUAUUUGUGUAUAUUAAGAUAAAAUACUUCAGGAAUCAUAUUGUCAUUUCCAAUUCAAUUUGAAAAUUAGAAGUUUUUACUUAACCUCUUAUGUUACAUGUAUAUCUCCUUUCUUCUGCAUCAAGAAUACUGAUUUUCAGAGUCAAAGGAAGAUGUAAUUAGCAUAUCCCAUAAUUUACUCAAUAUCUUUACCCCACAUUAUAUACAUAAUAGUCUCAGUCUAUUCUUAUUUUCAAGGUAGUAUUAAGUGUCCAUAUUUAUCAAGCCACAUUCAAGGAAAUCAUGUCUUAACUAUUUUGGAUGUUGCCUCUCCUUCAACUUGUACAUGAAACUCCAGCAGAUUUAAUAUUGGCAUGCAUCAUCUAGUCAAACCUCUCACAUGUUCUUCAAAUCAAUCAAAUUUGGGAUUCUCAACAUUUUCUGUGUCAAUAAAAGGAAUGGAAUUAGUAGAUUCGAUGAAUAACUGUUUUUCCUUGCCACACUGGACUUCCAGACGCCAUUUGGAUUGGGUUUAGAAGAUGGGGAAGUUUAGAAGAUGUUUCUUGGCCUGAGUCUCUUAAGAGGAGAGAUGUAGAAGAGAG
rnacentral:lncRNA from 1 species